rnacentral:rRNA from 1 species
AGCAGCAGCCGCGGGAAUACGUAGGUCCCGAGCGUUGUCCGGAUUUAUUGGGCGUAAAGCGAGCGCAGGCGGUUAGAUAAGUCUGAAGUUAAAGGCUGUGGCUUAACCAUAGUACGCUUUGGAAACUGUUUAACUUGAGUGCAAGAGGGGAGAGUGGAAUUCCAUGUGUAGCGGUGAAAUGCGUAGAUAUAUGGAGGAACACCGGUGGCGAAAGCGGCUCUCUGGCUUGUAACUGACGCUGAGGCUCGAAAGCGUGGGGCGCAAACAGGAUUAGAUACCCCCGUAGUCCCUGUCUCUUAUACA